rnacentral:rRNA from 1 species
AUACGGAAGAGGCAAGCGUUGUUCGGAAUCACUGGGCUUAAAGCGCGUGUAGGCGGCAUGGCAAGUAUCGUGUGAAAUCCCACGGCUCAACCGUGGAAUAGCCCGGUAUACUGCCAAGCUUGAGGCGGGUAGGGGUGCCUGGAACUCUAGGUGGAGCGGUGAAAUGCGUAGAUAUCUAGAGGAACGCCGGUGGCGAAAGCGAGGCACUGGGCCCGUCCUGACGCUGAGACGCGAAAGCGUGGGGAGCAAACGGGAUUAGAAACCCCAGUAGUCC